UUGUGAGAACCGCACAUGUCGUUGAUGUUUAUUUGCCUCCUCAUAUUUUUCAACUAGCCAGAAAAUAUGGUUCGACCAAAUUAACUGUUGAUUUAUUUUUUCUGCAGCUUUCUUAUGAAAACAGAAAGCACACUAGGAUCUAUAAAUUUUUAUUUCCUUAAAAACGUGGCGCACAUGCCAAUUGAAACAAUGUGCGUCCUCGUACGCAACUGGCUAGAACCUGACAGGCCUUGAGUGCCGUCUCUUUCUCUCCUUUUAUUUUUUAUUCUUUUAUCAUUAGAGUCAUGGUAAAUGUAAUAGGAGAGAAGUACUUAUCUAGUUUCAUAACACUGAACGGGAGCCCCCAUGUUGUUUUAGAGUCUAAUUGAUGUGGUUAGAUUAGCACGAAGUAUACCCCCGGUUUUCGCAAUUUGGUGAGACCAAUCAUGCCCCCAAAAGAACUAGGCUCACGUGUAGAGAGAGAGAGAGAGCCGGCACGCCUUCCUGGUCCCAUCAUUGCAUCUUUCG
rnacentral:lncRNA from 1 species